UGCAUAUCCAAUUCAACAUUCUCCUCAAAAAAAAAGGUUCCCUCAUUCAAAUAAGAAUCAGUAAGUGACAUCUAGAGAAACAUAGAAAAGGAGAAAACACAAUAAAAGCAGAUUGAUAAUUAAAAAGAAAAAAAAAAUCACAUUCUCACAUAUGCAAGACAAAAAUACCAUGAAUUCUGCUCAAAUUGCAUAAUUAGCCAG
rnacentral:misc_RNA from 1 species